GCAUCCGCUGGUUGGGGCGGGGUGGGGGAUAGAAACGGAUCAGAUCGCCUGCUCCCGCAAGAAGCCAAGAAAGCGACACCGCUGUCGUCGCCGUCACCGCUGCCGGCCACCAUCGCCGCCGCAACUCCCCUCCUCCAACGUCCACAGAUCGAGAUGCCAAGAUCUGUGGCGGAGGUGCUGUAGGCACGGCGGGAUGGCCGGAUCUGUGGCCACCGGCUUCGCCUUCUUCCAGACUGCCAAUGCCGUCUCCGUUGCAGGGUCGCUGUCAGAGCUAGGGCUACAAAAUCGGGCGGCGCGGGUCGCUCGCCGCCGUUGGCAGGCAGGAAGAGUGUGGCCUCGCAGCUGGUGGAGCUAGCUGCUCCUCUCAGGUCUCGUCUCCACUCCCAGGCAGUCCCGGCUGGCGGAGGAGGAUGGACGAGGAAGACGGCGGCCACCGCCACCACGCCAUCCGGGUCGCGUCGUCCUCCCCAGUUCUGUUUUAAAUCAAUACACCAAGCUGCCGCCGACCGCGCUGACGGCCAAGCCGCCGCUGACCCGGAUUCAUCUGCACCAACAGAUCACAGAGUCACAGAGAAACAUCUCGAGGUAAUCCGCUCAAGUUUAUGCUAGGUUCAGGUUGCUCCACCGCAUGCCCUCUCGCAUCGCUUUUUAUCUGCUUCCAGUUCAGGGUUUUUUUUUGGGACCAAUAGCUUUAAGUUGAUCUCAUUAGCAUGCUUAGAUUACUCAUAGUCAUGGAUUAUGAUCAGACAAAGUUGGACUACCAGACCAGAGAAUUAAGGUUUGUCUUUGUGGCCCUAAAAUAGUUUAUGUCCUGUUGCUGAAUUGGAGGUGUGAAGCUUGUAGGAUUUACUGAUACAUAAAACUUGGCAUCAUGAUUUCUAGAUGUUGUUAACUUGUUAUUUGUCACCUCCUGGCUUUGCUUGUUUUCUAUUAGUACUAGUUUGUGAAAUCAAUGAUUGGCAUAACCAUUAAUUAUUUUUCAGACUGGCAGCUAUUUUUGCUGUUCAAAUAGCUGUUGAUAUUGUUGCAUUUCAUGUAUAUUGCUGUGCAUAGCUGCUGAUAUUGCUGCACUUGGCACUGCUGAUAUUGCUGCUAGUACUAGACUGCUAUAGUACUGAAAGGUCUUCUUUAGAGUUUAAGAGCUCUACAACAAGAUAACCCAUGCAUGUUUAACUUCUAAAAAUAUAAGCAAACAGUUACCUGGCCUAUGCAGACAUGCAGUUCUAUCAUGACACUUUAGACCAGUUAGUAGUUGGAAAUCCCAGCUAAACCUGUAUCGUUUAUGCCUUUCCGAAACAGAUGUCUUCUCUUCAGUUAGAGGCCUCUGGUACAAGUGAGAGCACUGGUAAUAGUUUGUCACAAACACCAAAUAGAAAGGCACCAAUCUGGGAGUAUUAUGAGCCGGAAUUGGUCAGGAUAGAUGGUGCACUAAAAGCAAUUUGCAAGUACUGUGGAACAAAGUUGAUUGCAAACAGGAAAUCAGGUACAAAUAGCCUUCGAACUCACAUUGCAGAGUACUGCCCCAAAAUCCCUAGUGAUGAUAGGAACAAAUUUGUCGCUACAGUGAAGAAAAAGCCAGAUGGUCGUCCAUUCACCUUUAAUAAGCAGAGAAGUCGUGACCUGAUGAUUGCAUGGAUUGUUAGAGCUGAUGUAGCUUUCAACAAGUUUGAUGAUAAAGGUUUUGAGCCUUGGAUGGAGUCAAUGCAACCUACUUUUAGCGGCAUAGGGAGACAAACGAUUCGUAAUGAUUGUGUUGCUAAGUUUGAUUGAGCAAAGAUAGAAUUACGAAGUGAACUUCAGAGUCUUAGCUCUCGCAUAUGCUUCACUUCGGAUCUUUGGACAUCAAACCAAAAGUUGGGAUAUCUUUGUGUUACAGCCCACUAUAUUGGCCCUGAUUUUGUUUUGAAGAAAAAGAUAAUUGCAUUUAAGGAUGUGAAGUAUCCACAUAAGGUGUUGCUAUUGAGGAAACCAUUACAACUGUUCUGACAGACUAUGGAAUCCAAGAGAAGAUGAUAUUGCCUUAAAUUUAGAUGUAGUUGUUGAGAAACUUGUAUGCUAGCUACAUGGUUUUUAGUAGUAUCUGAAGGUUGGAUCUGUUGCUUCAGAGGUGACUUUAGUAGUUGAUACAUCAUAUAACUUACAGUCAGUAGUGAUUAUGUUUUUUUUUUAGUUUCUUGCAGGAGCAUUUGAUGUAAUCUGGAAGCUGCGACCUAUUAUCUCUCAGCUGGUUCUUUCCGUCUAAUUGUCAAGCAAUAUUUUUCCAUGAAGUGUAGUUUAUGCACAGCUCAUUCCUGCUGCUGCUGUUUCUGUAAAUGUAAGGAGGGGUCGUCUUCCCUCGUCUAUGCGCCAGGCAGUCCAAGGGUUCCUGCGACGAGCCCUUGCAAUCAGGAGCUACCCCCAGUGUUGCAUCUUUCCUCUCAGGCUUGUUGCUUGAACAGCUCGGAUAAUGAGGAGCCCAGUAUCGUGCACAGCAAUAACCCAUGCAUAACCCACCAUCGGUGGGGUGGGUUGGGGCGGGUUGGUUAAUUAAAUAUGUGGGUUGGGGCGGGUUGGCAAAAAAUAAUUGAACUGCUGCCGGUAGGGGUGGGGAAGGGGCGAGUAGAUCCCCAUUAGCAGGCCUAGCAGUAUCACCUUCUAAUGCACAGUAGCAGGUGGGUGUGAUCCACCUGCUACUAGUACCACAGAUAUCCGAGCGCAGCAGAGGCGCAGCCUCUCUUCAACCUGCUGGUUCUCAAUCCAGGGCACAGCCUCUACCUGUGCGGCUUCAAUGGCGCGGCAUCUCCUCUGUUAACGCUGCAAAAAGAAUGAAUUCAUCAACAUUGUCCGAUGAUGGUUCAUCCAGUAAACUUUGAAGCAACUAUGGAUGACAACUCAUUGGACAAGCUGCUCUUGACCACGCAAUUGCGUCCUUCGCUAACGCAUAGCUGCUGAUAACCCUGUCGAUGUUGAUUAUUCUACCAGAGCAUGCAGCGUCUCCGGCGUCUAGAUCAGAUGAGCCUCCUCUACAGUUAUUGCAGAGGGACUGACUGGUGGGCCGCCCUCGCAGGUACAGGCUAGUGUGGAGUGUGGGCCUGGUCUAGGGAUGGCAAUUCCACCCGCAGUUGCAGGUAGCCGUGGAUUUAAGACUCGACGGGUGCGAGUGCGGAUUUCAAAUUUGACCCAGAAGUGCCUUCGUACCUGCACGUGCACCAUACUUAUAAAUUCCUAUCCAGAUAGUAUCGGUCCAGCCUAUUUAGCAAUAUCCAGCAUAUAAAUAUGUGGAUGUUCAGUGUAUUGUAACACUUAAUUGUAGAUUUGUGGUGCUGCUGCUACGCUGAAUUGUUAUUUAUUAUUUUGAACUUAAGGAUUUGUUGUUAA